CCUAUUUGCCUCACGAGAUGCAUCUCCCAGAGUUUGGUCCUUGUUUUCAGAAACAAAUUCACCAUUCUCGACUCUGGGUUCCUUUGGCUGCAGCAGUGAAGCACUGCUGGGUGGCUCCUGGUUUAGGGUCCUAGCUUCUUCAUUAUGUUGCGCUGAUGCUGCAUUCCUCAGUGACUCCCCAUUUAUAUUCGUAGUCUCUGCAUUAGGUUGCGCUGUUGUGGAGUCACUCGGUGGCACAGGAUUUGCACCUGCUCCGGCUUCCUCAUUGGGGAGAGGCAUUGCAGUGUCAAUUAGUAGCUCCUGCUUUACACAUCUAGCUUCAUCAUUAGGUUGCACCAUUGCAGCAUCUCUAGGUGGCUCUGCUCCCACUCUUCUAUCUUCCAUGUGAGGUUGGGGCAUUGCAGUGCCGAUGAGUGGUUCCUGCUUUCCUCUUCUACCUUCAUCAUCAGGUUGCAGCAUUGCUGUGUCACUGAGGUGCUCCUGUCCCACUUUUGUAGCUUCGCCAUCAGGUUGCAGCAUUGCAGUGUUACCGGCCGGUUCAUGUUCGAAUGGCCAAGCGUCUUCAUCAGGUUGCAGCAUUGCUGUGUCACUGAGGUGCUCCUGUCCUACUUUUGUAGCUUCGCCAUCAGGUUGCAGCAUUGCAGUGUUACCGGACGGUUCAUGUUCGAAUGGCAAAGCGUCUUCAUCAGGUUGCAGCAUUGCAGUGUCACUGGCUGGUUCAUGUUCGAAUGACCAAGCUUCUUCAUCAGGUUGCAUCAUUACAGUGUUGGCCGAUGGAUCUUCUGUUGUUACAGCUGGCUUCAUAGGGACAUCUGAAUGAUGAGCAUCUCCAGGCACUCCAGUCUCAUCCUUUCCCUCGUUAACUUCUUGGCCAUUCUUCUUGAUGAAUUUAUUCUUGUUCCGUUGCUUCUUGAAACCACCUUUCUUGGUCUUAAGUGAUUUUGGAGUUUCAACGGGCUUUUUCUCGGUGUCCUUACCUUGCCUUUUUCCAGGCACAACAAUAUAUUUUGUGGUACCAUUCGCGCAACCCUCUGAUUGGCCUGCAACUAAAAAAGG
rnacentral:lncRNA from 1 species